rnacentral:rRNA from 1 species
GCAUAUCAAUAAGCGGAGGAAAAGAAACCAACAGGGAUUGCCUUCAGUAACGGCGAGUGAAGCGGCAACAGCUCAAAUUUGAAAUCUGGCCGCAAGGUCCGAGUUGUAAUUUGUAGAGGAUGCUUUUGGCGAGGUGCCUUCCGAGUUCCCUGGAACGGGACGCCAUAGAGGGUGAGAGCCCCGUACGGUAGGACCACCAAGCCUCUGUAAAGCUCCUUCGACGAGUCGAGUAGUUUGGGAAUGCUGCUCUAAAUGGGAGGUGUACGUCUUCUAAAGCUAAAUACCGGCCAGAGACCGAUAGCGCACAAGUAGAGUGAUCGAAAGAUGAAAAGCACUUUGAAAAGAGGGUUAAAAAGUACGUGAAAUUGUUGAAAGGGAAGCAUUCAUGACCAGACUUGGGCUUGGUUGAACAUCCGGCGUUCUCGCCGGUGCACUCUGCCAGUCCAGGCCAGCAUCAGUUUGCCCCGGGGGAUAAAGGCGGCGGGAAUGUGGCUCCCUUCGGGGAGUGUUAUAGCCCGUCGUGUAAUGCCCUGGGGCGGACUGAGGAACGCGCUUCGGCACGGAUGCUGGCGUAAUGGUCAUCAAUGACCCGUCUUGAAACACGGACCAAGGAGUCGUCUUCGUAUGCGAGUGUUCGGGUGUCAAACCCCUACGCGUAAUGAAAGUGAACGUAGGUGAGAGCUUCGGCGCAUCACCGACCGAUCCUGAUGUUCUCGGAUGGAUUUGAGUAAGAGCAUACGGGGCCGGACCCGAAAGAAGGUGAACUAUGCCUGUAUAGGGUGAAGCCAGAGGAAACUCUGGUGGAGGCUCGCAGCGGUUCUGACGUGCAAAUCGAUCGUCAAAUAUGGGCAUGGGGGGCGAAAGACUAAUCGAACCUUCUAGUAGCUGGUUUCCGCGA